rnacentral:lncRNA from 1 species
UCUAAAAAAAUUGAGAAAUUGUCAAAAAUACUAUUUUUAAAGUACCACUUUUUAUGUUUACACUAAUUACUUUAACACUCAUUUUUAAUGAAAGAUAAAAGACAUUUAUAACCUUUUGAUUAACUUGGACAAAGAAAAAAAUAUGGUUAACUAAUCUAAACUUAAAACAUUAACUCUAAACCUUAAAUCAUCAACUCUAAACCCUAAACCAUGAAACAUCAACUCUAAACCCUAAACCCGAAACAUCAACUCUAAACCAUAAACCCUAAACCCUAAACCUUCAAAUCUAAACCCUAAAACAUCAACUCUAAAUCCUAAACGUAAACCAUAAACCCUAAAUCUAAACCUAAAACAUCAACUUUAAACCCUAAAUCAUCAACUCUAAACCCUAAAACAUGAAACAUCAACACUAAACCCUAAACCCCGAAACAUCAACUCUAAACCCUAAACCCUAAACCUUCAAACCUAAACCCUAAAACAUCAACU